CCUACGGGAGGCAGCAGUGGGGAAUAUUGGACAAUGGAGGCAACUCUGACCCAGCAACGCCGCGUGAGGGAAGAAGGACUUAGGGUUGUAAACUUCUGUUGUCAAGGAAGAAAAGAAUGCCGGUACUUUACAAGAAAGCCCCGGCUAACUAUGUGCAAGCAGCCGCGGUAAGACAUAGGGGGCAAGCGUUGUUCGGAAUUACUGGGCGUAAAGGGAGCGUAGGCGGGAGAGUAAGUUAAGAGUGAAAGCCUGGGGCUCAACCCAAGAAAUGCACUUAAUACUGGUUUUCUAGAGGGUGGGAGAGGUAAGUGGAAUUACUAGUGUAGCGGUAGAAUGCGUAGAGAUUAGGAGGAACAUCAGAGGCGAAGGCGGCUUACUGGACCAUAACUGACGCUGAGGCUCGAAAGCGUGGGGAGCAAACAGGAUUAGAUACCCUUGUAGUC
rnacentral:rRNA from 1 species